rnacentral:miRNA from 1 species
UGGGCUGCCUCAGUCAUGCCAUG